rnacentral:miRNA from 1 species
GGAGAAAGGAGUGGACCGAGGAAGGAAGGAAGGAAGGCAAGGCUGUCUGUCCAUCCGUCCGUCUGUCCACCUACCUGUCAGUCC